CAUCAAGGACAACAACCAUCCGAGCCACUGCCAGUUCACCCAGCUAUCAUCCAGAAGGCGAGCUGAUCAAGGGUUCGAAAAUGUGGAUAUUGCCAGAUGUUCACUGUUGGAGGAACAGGCCGUAGAAGCCUUAUUGUUGGCAAAAGUGUCCAUAACCAGAGAUUCAGCAGGUGGAGGACCUGCUUUAGCAGGAAGAUCAUCUGGAAACACUGACAAUGGGUCAUUGUUCCUGACAUCCCAUGCUCCCUGUCUACUGAGAAUCUUGCUGUGCUCCAACGUCAAGUGAACCCUACCAACGACUCAUCUUUUGGUCAGGACAUAUACAUGCAUGCUCUUCGAUUAGUGUUGAGUCUCCAACCUUUUCAGGUGCAGUCCUCCCACACUAUAUAGGAUAUUGUUUUAGCCCCAGUGCCACUCUUGAUAAUGGCAAACAUUAGUAUUUUUUGGAGGAGGGUGAAAGGAUAGCAAGCCAAGCUGUCAAAGUGAGAGGGGAGGCUAUUCUGCAUAGAGCGGGUACUUGUGUGUAGUCUAUUUCUUGUGAGCUUUUCUGUCCUCAGAUACAGAGAGCUGUGAAAGCCUGUCUGCAGAUUAAGAGGUCCCAAUGAAGAGCAGGGGUUUUCAGUCCUGGUGCUGGGGACUCUAAACGUUUGUUUGUGCCUUAGCACUACACAGCUGAUUCAAAUGAUCAAGUCACCAUCAAGCUUCAAAUGGUGUUUUGAUGUGAGAGAGGAAGACCGGAGGAAAUCCCGUCAACUCCACCUCACCCGCUCUUAAGAUAAUCUACGGGCCGACUGGGAGUCCAAGGCUGGUUAGAAGACACCGCUAGAGACACUAUGUAAUUGUGAUGAACUGAGAGAAUAUUAGGGUGGCACUAAUUCAUUAAUCAUAUGCUGACUUCCCUGCUCCUCUGUUUUACCUCUCUCCCCACCUCUUUCUUCCUCUUUUUUUGUAUUUAUAAUGAAUGUAUUAUGUAUUUAUAACAGCUGGAUAAUGAACUUUCAAUAAAACGUUUC